rnacentral:rRNA from 1 species
UACGUAGGGUGCGAGCGUUGUCCGGAAUUAUUGGGCGUAAAGGGCUUGUAGGCGGUCUGUCGCGUCGGGAGUGAAAACUCAGGGCUUAACCCUGAGCCUGCUUCCGAUACGGGCAGACUAGAGGUAUGCAGGGGAGAACGGAAUUCCUGGUGUAGCGGUGAAAUGCGCAGAUAUCAGGAGGAACACCGGUGGCGAAGGCGGUUCUCUGGGCAUUACCUGACGCUGAGGAGCGAAAGUGUGGGGAGCGAACAGG